AUUGAACGCUGGCGGAAUGCUUUACACAUGCAAGUCGAACGGCAGCACGGACUUCGGUCUGGUGGCGAGUGGCGAACGGGUGAGUAAUACAUCGGAACGUGCCCAGUCGUGGGGGAUAACGUAGCGAAAGCUACGCUAAUACCGCAUACGAUCUAAGGAUGAAAGCGGGGGAUCGCAAGACCUCGCGCGAUUGGAGCGGCCGGUGGCAGAUUAGGUAGUUGGUGGGGUAAAGGCUCACCAAGCCGACGAUCUGUAGCUGGUCUGAGAGGACGCCCAGCCACACGGGGACUGAGACCGGGCACAGACUCCUACGGGGGGAAGCAGUGGGGAAUUGUGGACAAUGGGCGAAAGCCUGAUCCAGCCAGUCCGCGUGAAGGAUAAAGGCCCUCGGGUUGUAAACUGCUUUUGUACGGAACGAAAAGGCUCUGGUUAAUACCUGGGGCUCAUGACGGUACCGUAAGAAUAAGCACCGGCUAACUACGUGCCAGCCGCCGCUGUAA
rnacentral:rRNA from 1 species